AUUGAACGCUGGCGGCAUGCCUAACACAUGCAAGUCGAACGGGGUAGCAAUACCCAGUGGCGGACGGGUGAGGAAUACAUAGGAAUUUGCCUUUAGGUGGGGGGAUAGCCCGGGGAAACUCGGAGUAAUACCGCAUGAUGUCGAAAGACCAAAGUAGGGGAUCGCAAGACCUUGCGCCUUUAGAGAAGCCUAUGUCUGAUUAGCUAGUUGGUAGGGUAAUGGCCUACCAAGGCGACGANCAGUAACUGGUCUGAGAGGACGAUCAGUCACACCGGAACUGAGACACGGUCCGGACUCCUACGGGAGGCAGCAGUGGGGAAUAUUGGACAAUGGGCGAAAGCCUGAUCCAGCAAUGCCGCGUGUGUGAAGAAGGCC
rnacentral:rRNA from 1 species